AUCUAUCUAUCUGUCUGUCUGUCUGUCUGUCUGUCUGUCUGUCUGUCUCUCUGUCUGUCUAUCUAUCUAUCUAUCUAUCUAUCUAUCUAUCUAUCUAUCUAUCUGUCUAUCUAUCUAUCUAUCUAUCUAUCUAUCUAUCUAUCUAUCUGUCUGUCUGUCUGUAUGUCUGUCUGUCUGUCUGUCUGUCUGUCUGUCUAUCUGUCUAUCUGUCUAUCUAUCUAUCUAUCUAUCUAUCUAUCUAUCUAUCUAUCUAUCUAUCUAUCUAUCUAUCUAUCUGUCUGUCUAUCUAUCUAUCUAUCUGUCUGUCUAUCUAUCUAUCUAUCUAUCUAUCUAUCUAUCUAUCUAUCUAUCUAUCUAUCUAUCUAUCUAUCUAUCUAUCUAUCUAUCUAUCUGUCUGUCUGUCUGUCUGUCUGUCUGUCUAUCUGUCUAUCUAUCUAUCUAUGAGAAACAAACAAAACAAAGUUGCAACAAGCAAGGAGAAGAGGUUGAUACUCAUAAAAGGCUGACAUGCAUCUUGAACUACCUGGAACCUUUUUAGCUUUUAACUUCAUGAUGACACUUUUGCAGAGCUGCCAGAAAUGAAUAGAGUAUCCAUCUAUUCAUCUAUUCAUCCAUCUCUCUAUGUCGAUCUACCUCCAGAAAUAUACAUCUAUAUCGAGCUACCUGCAGCGAUGUGAGGAAGUGUUUGGUCCUUCCUGGUUCCUUAUUUCUUUGCAUGUUUGUCCCACUUCAAUGUUUGAGGUCAUCAAACUCAUGUAAAUAUUAGUCAAUGACAACACAACUCAACACUUCAUGCACUUUUGAAAUGAAACUUUACCAUUAAGGGAGAAAACAAUCCAAAGCUACAUGGCCCCGUGUGAAAGAGUGAUGGCCCCCUAAAGCUAAUAAGUGGUUGGCCCCCCCUUAGCAACAACAAUUGCAAUCAACUUGCAAUGAGUCUCUUCCAGCGCUGGGGAGGAAUUUAGCAGAAUUGUUGUCAUUCAGCCACAUUGGAGGCUUUUCCUUUUGAAGGUCAUGCCACAGCAUCUCAAUAGGAUUCAGGUCAGGACUUGGACUAGACCUCUCAAAAGUCUUCAGCCAUUCUGAGGUGGACUUGCUGGUGUGUUUUGGAUCAUUGUCCUGCUGCAGAACCCAAGUUGCUUUCAGCUUGAGGUCACCAACAUUCUCCUUCAGCAGAAUUCAUGCUUCCAUUGAUCACAGCAAGUCUUCCAGGUCCUGAAGACCAUCACACUACCACCACCAUAUUUUACUGCUGCUAUGAUGUUUUUCUUCUGAGAGACACACACCUUCCAAAAAGUUCAACUUUUGAGUAUUUUUCCAAAGGUCUUGGGUCUUGUUUUCUGGCAAAUUUGAGAAAAGACUUAAUGCUGUUUUUGGCAAGUGAGGCCUGCAGUUCUUUGAAUGUUGUUGUGGGGUCUUUUGUGACCUCUCGGAUGAGUCGUGGUUGCACUCUUGGGGUCAUUUUGGUUGGCCAGUCACUCCUGGGAAGGUUCACCACUGUUCCAUGUUUUGGCCAUUUGUGGAUAAUGGCUCUCACUGUGGUUGGCUGGAGUCCCAAAGCUUUAGAAAUGGCCUUAUAUAACCUUUCCCACACUGAUAGAUCUCAACUCAUCUCACUUAAGUUAUGUUUUAACAGGGGGACCCUCACUCUUUCACACAGGGACAUGUAGGUUUGGAUUGUUUUCUCCCUUAAUAAUAAAAAAGUUUCAUUUGAAAAGUGCAUGAAGUGUUGAGUUGUGUUGUCAUGGACUAAUUUUUACAUUAGUUGAUGAUCUCAAACAUUUAAGUGUGACAAGCAAAAAAGGUGAAAACCCUUUUUCACACCAGUGUCUAUGGUGUAUUAUAAUGGUAUUAUGUCAUCCAUUACAUUGUGUAUCAUAUCGAUAUGUUUUGUGAUACCAUGAUGCAUUGAUAUGGUGUUUUGUGAUACGGUGCAUGAUGUGGACAUGGUGAUACUGGAUGAGUCCUAAUAGUAGUCCAAGGAGUCAGGAAGGUAAGGAUGGAAAGUUAGUUGUGUUUGCUUCCAUGUUGGUGUGCACACCAUGUAUGCAUCCUCCUUGUCAAAGUCCUGUCAUGCCAAUAGAUGACCCCCCAGCCCCUCCCCCAGUAAAGUAGUAAAGUAGUGCAAGUGUGGCAUGAGAAUGAUCAGAAUGUGGCUGGCAGGGAAUUGAUCAGUCUCCAUCCCGACUCGCAUCCCCCAUCAAGUGUCAGGUGUGCGUCAGAUGACACGCUUGGUGACAGUGACUUGUCAAUGACUGUGCUCCAGUCGAGUCCCCAGCCGUGCACGCUCGCCACCAAAGUGCUGUCUAUCAUCUUAUUUUUGACAAAUUCCUCACGCUUGUCUCUCAAUCUAAUCGGACUUUGAGGCUCCUGUAAGACAAAGACAGCUCGUCUUCAUCUUCACACGCUUGGUGUGCGCGUGUGCGUGUGUGUGCGUGCGUGUGUGUGCUUGCGUGUGUGUGUGUGCGUGUGAGUGUGAGUGUGUUAGCCACCAGCAGUUCUUGCAAUUGCCCAAGUUUGAAAAACAUGACAGUCACAUUUUAGGUGCUCUGAUGUCACAGCUUUUCUUUUUUUUCCUCCUAAGCUUGAAAGUUCAAUCAAUGUGAGGUUUGGUGUCCUUUGAUGUCAGGUCUCCAGUGAUGUGCUUUUAGCAUGCUACCUGCCUCCUCUUCUUCUGACUCUUCGUCUUCUUCUUGUCACCAACCUACUGCCUGCAUCAGCCUGGGACUGCCAUGUAGGCACACAAGGCCCAAGUACAAAAUAUCCAUGAUUGCAGUAUUAUAGUACUGUAGUACUGUACUGUAUUACAUCAACGCAUGACUUCCAACUGCAGUAGCACCAUAUCAUGUCAAUAUAUCCACCCAGGACCGGUGCAGUGUCACGAUUACCAAAUAUAUACAGUAUGUACCAUUCAAAUACAUUUUAAACAGCAAUUACAAUUACAUGACCAAUGUUGACCCCCCCAAAUAUAUAUAUAUAUAUUGGAAAAAAAAAUACUAAAACGAAUAUUAAAAAGAAAAUAAUAACAAAUAUAGUUGAAAUCUUAACAAAAUAAGGACGGGGUGGGGGCUUGGUCGCCAUUACGAAUAAAUGAAUAAAUACAAUGUGAAAAUAAUUGCAAUAAUGUCAACUAGAUGUUUUUAUCUUUCUAUUUCUCCAAUAUUCAUAAUCUUGGGUGUCACAUAAGUCAUUUUUUAAACUGCUGUAUAAUAAUGUCCCCCUCCCCCCAGUUACACACCAAGGACAGGGAAUUUAUCAUCAGAAGAAAAUCAUACAAAUAAUUGGAACAAAAGUACAAAUGCUGGCAAGAUAUUUGAAUGAUAGAUUUACAGUCUGACUCAUCCCGGACAGCAGUCAAGUGUCUUUUUAAACUACAGUUGAAUUCCAGCUGCUAACCUGCUAACCUGCUAACCUGCUAACCUGCUCAUCUGGGAAUUAUCCAAGUUCAUGCAUACAAAGUAAUAGAAAUGAUUUAAAGAAAAAUACAAAUAACAAAUAAUUGGAACCCAUCUACAAUGCUGACAAGGUAUUUGAAUAUUUCAUUGUAUUUUAAUCGGACUAAUCCUGGAAGUCUGGAAGUCAGUGAAGUGUUUUUUUUUUAAUCUAAUGGCUCCCAAUACAGUAAAUAUACACACAUAUACACACACCUAUACACAUAUACACACACACACACACACAUAUAUAUAUAUAUAUAUAUAUAUAUAUAUCCAACAAGGACAGCAAGCUUAUCAUGUUUAUCAAAAAUAUAGAAAGUACAUAUGCACCAACAUCUAUACCAUUUGUAUUAUAUUUACAUACAUACAUAUACAUGCAUAUAGAUGUAUUAUAUAGAUAGAUUAUAAUACACAAACAUAUACGUUGCUAGGAUAUAGAGUACAUGUAUAAAUACAGUAUAUAUAGUACUGGGAAAUACUGUAGAUAGAUGUAUACAUAUAUACAGUACUAGGCUAUACAUAGAUGUAUAAAUAUAUAGAGUAGUAUGAUAUAGAUGUAUAAAUACAUAGAGUAGUAGGAUAUAGAUAGAUGUAUAAAUAUAUAGAGUAGUAGGAUAUAGAUAGAUGUAUAAAUAUAUAGAGUAGUAGGAUAUAGGUAGAUGUAUAAAUAUAUAGAGUAGUAGGCUAUAGAUAGAUGUAUAAAUAUAUAGAGUAGUAGGAUAUAGAUAGAUGUAUAAAUAUAUAUAGUAGUAGGCUAUAGAUAGCUGUAUAAAUAGGAUAUAGAUGUAUAACUCGAGUAUAUAGAGCGGUAGGAUAUAGAUAGAUGCACUGCGUGUAUUCCGUCGUGUCCAUCCUGGUCAAUAAGAAUAAAACGAGUGCCAGCUAAUGUCUUCCUCCAUGUUUAAAGACCUCCUUUAAGAAGUCAAAUGAAACAUUCCUGUAUAUUUAUAUAUCACGUGACGUAACACUAUGACCUUGCAUGCUGGUCUGAUCAACAUCUCAUCAUCUGCUUUUCUUCAUAUGACUAUGACAGUAGAUACCCCCCACCCCUGAAGAAGGCCUAAACUGGGAUUAUUUAAAGAGGAUUAAAUAUUAGGAUUUCAAUGUACCUACCUGCCCGACAAAGUAAUUACCCCCCCCCCCCCCCCCCAAAAAAAAAAAAAAAAAUCAAUGCUGGGGAAAGUGAAGCCCUCUUGCCGACGGGGAUGAAAUAAAGAAAUAAAGGAAUAAGAGGCGGGUGGUGGCAAAUAAAGCCAAGUGUGGGACAGGAAUGAAAGUGCUUAUUAGGCAGGCUGCAGCUUCCAGAUUGCAAAGUCAAUGUGAAGCUUUUUGGAAAAACACAUCCAAUAAUCCAACGUGUAUUUGUUUUUCACAUAUUUCAUCUGAUGUUUUUGCUUGGCUACGUCAUUUACUUCCAUUCUUUAUCAAAUCAUUCACUUAUCGGAUGGAUGGAUAUGAAUGAUUUCAUGAAUGCGCGAGUGAAAUGUCUUGUUUUCUUCACGCUUUGCUUUUUAAAAUUGAUCAACGCAUGAGGUGAAUUUGCAAAGCAUCCGUUCUAGACAUCCACGUUCUAGGAAGAAUUGCAUGAUGUAGAAAAGAUCUAGCAUUUUUCAUUGAAAGAUAAGCGCAGGGCCACAGUUGAGUGUUGCGUUCAAACGCAAUGGGACGAUUAGUGGGUGCUCUGGGGGAACGUGCGGGUGGAACAUUGUGUGCUUUUGUUGGGACGGACUGUCUCGACUCCUACAAGUCACUUUGGGGACCAACAACUCUAACUGAAGGACGAAUUUAUUUGAUGGUGAGGUUCCUGAACGCACCACGACACACGUUCCAUUCAGCCAAAAAAACAAAACAAAAAAAACCCAACAACAACAAACUAUGAUGUCGCCGUAAAUAAAGCUGCACGACAAUGAACGAAAGACUUCCGUUCCCUUCAUCCUACAUGUUGCAUGUUUGAAAUGUUGGAUGUUUUAAGGCCCGUAAACCCUGGGAAAGCGACCAAUAAAUCAACACAGCACGCAUGCGCAGUUUCACCCAGCAUGUCCAUACAGUACGUAGAAAAAAGAUAUUUAAAUUGCAAAUGUGGUUAAAUUAACUUUUUGAACCUCCCGGAAACGAAUUCUAUUCACGUUUUCUUUCUUUUUCUUUUUAAAUCAAUAUCACAAAUACAUAAAUGAAAUAGAAACAAAAAAUAGCUAAAUAUCUAAAAUAAAUAUAUCUUGAAAGCAAAAUAAGAGAUGUGAUCAUUGUGAACGAAAGGCCUGAGGACAUGACGGUUCUCAUGUUCCCAUUUCUUAUUUGGACUUUUCAUUGAAAAUAUGACUUUCAAUAGAAAUGUUUUUGGAAAUGAUGUGAGAUUAUUUCACUAAAAUAAAUCUGAUUGGAUGUACAUUAUUUGGGAAUUUUACUGUAAAAACAAACAACUGCAAAAGCAAACAUGACUGAAAGGCCAGUAGGCCCGCGUCCAGAAAUCGGACACUUCAUUAGGUACACCGGCACAAUCUGACCAUUUUCAAUAAAAGACAAUUAAUGCAUGAAAAAAAGGAGCUACAGUGGAAGUUGUGGCAAGUGAAAUACUACAAAUAGAACAGCAAUACAAGUACAGUAACUGUUAUUAUGAUCUCUAUACCACAUGUCACGCCUCACGUGGACAGUUUCCUUCAUCAUUUCCAUGAUUGCAUAUUAUUUAUUCAAUCCACUCCUUCCACACUAUUAACGCUGUUACACGAUUAACUGUUAGAAGUGACAUCCUUAUCUGUUUGUGCCUAAAUAGCACACAAUAUGCAACUGCUAUCAAAGUUUCAUUAGGAACAUUAAACCUUGGAGGGGGUCCCACGUAUUAUUGUGUUAAAAAUGAGGGGUUUUUUUUGUUGGUUGAAGAAACAAAUGACGGCGUGACGCGUGACUUUGAAACGAAUGUGAGCACUUCGAAAGAUGUCUAAUCUCUUCAAACAGGAGGAGAUGUCACCAGGUCAUCACCGUUUCUCGUUUCUCAUUAACAAGAUAGACGCAUAAAAACAAAGAACGUCACCUCGGGGGGGUCACACAGUGGGCCAGGGGCUAAUUGUGUCUAACGGGAAGUUGUACACGCCAGAGAAGUUUUUUUUGUUGUUUUUUCGAGAGCAUCACAGCAAAGUUUUGUGUCUUUGUGAAAGUGUGAAAAGAAGAUCAGGAACUAACAUGCUUGAACGGCACCCACCCUCCACCAAGUGUUACUCGAUGUCUGCACGCGUACUUUAGCAUUUUACAAGCACAGAUGGGUUCCAAAAUGUCUUUGUAUAAACUAAAAAGAUGGAUUAUACAAGAUCUCCCUCGGCGCUUCUUUUUUCUCCUCCGUGGUCCUCCGAGAUGAAGCUGCUCUCUCCUGUCCAAAAUGAUGGAGAAUUCCAAACAAUGCUGAACUACUUCAAAGUACGAAGGCCUCCUGAGUCAUUGAGGGAAAUAAACAUAAAAUAAUAAAUAGCUAAUUGCGUUUUUCAAAGCCAAAUCUAACGUGUGUUUUAUCUUCAUCAGGCUCCAGUUUGGAAUGUGAAUCCAAGACCAUGAAGAUGCAAAACAGGACAAAACCUCCAUCAAGGCCUCAUUUGGAUCGGCUCGAGCCCGCCGCUACAUUCAUGUGUAUUUUUAGAUAUGCACUUCUUGCUUGGUGACUUCCUGUGGUCUGCUUCUGCCUUCCAAGGAUUCUGCUUCGUUCGCGUACGGUGGAUCGCCACACAUUCAGGAUUCGCAACCCUGCAAAUUUGAUGAUUUUUUUUUUCUCUGAAAAUUGACUUUUUUCCCACCGAAAACACGUCAUUCACCCUAAGCGGGUAAACAUGUAUAAAUAUGUGAUAAUAUGAGUACAGCAAAUACGUGCCACAUCAUUUUUUAUGUCUUCAUGCUUCUUUGUUCAGUGGUCCAUGAACUCACCGUGUGUUUGUUGGUUACGGAGGAGCUCGCCUCAAAACUUAAAGCACGGUGAACUCGAGUGAAUGAUGCUAAGUCCUUUGUGGAAUUACAGCAUGCAAGCAGCGCUGGUUAUGUAGACGCGACUUCUCUAGCCUGCUAGCGUAAACCUGACAACCAGGCUAAAGGCUACACUGUGCCUCCGAUUCCAUCUUUUUAUUGAUCAUCUUCCAUUAUGAUUCAUUGGUGGUAAUUAGUUACUGAUACAUUUGAUACUUUAAAUGUGUGUAAGAAAUGGGGGGGGGGGCAUUUUUAUGAUGCAAAUGUAUUACUCUUUUGAACGCAUCUUGUUUUGAGAAGCCAAACUCUUUACUUAAACGUCCCAGCAACUAAGCGGAACUACAUUCCUCAUCACGGAAAUCGGACCAGAACUGGACUCGGGAAACCAAGUGGGGGGGAGAAGACACGAUACAAGAGACACUUCCUGUCCCUCACUGGAUGGACACGGGACGCAAUGAACACAAGACUACUAGAUGGAGGACCACGCUACCAGACAACUUUAUAUCCACUUUGACACUUUCAUGUCAAAGCAUGAAGUUCAACUUCAUAGCUGGAGUUUUACUCAGAUUUCAGUCUGCAAAGAACAUUCUGUGUAAAUCACUAUCAUGGUAUCACUACCAUGAUAUCACUGUCACUAUCAAUAUGCUGGGAAAUGCUCCUGUAUUGUACCCAAUACCCUUACGACCACCUUCCAUCGGACGAACCAAAUGGUGUGUGUAACGUCACUGCACGGACUGAGUGACCUUACACAGGACGUCCAAACAAGAUGGGCCUGAGAUGACCUUUAUCUUCAGUGCCGGCUGGCGGAGACCUGGCGCUGGAUCAGCGGACCCAGCGACCAAGCCCCCGUCCCUGCCCUUUCACCUGGCCAGGAAGCAGCGGACACUGCCAGAAGCCGUGCCGUCGAGCCAUCCAAAUUGACGCUAGCUGGCUCGCUCCGGCCGGGAGGAUGCCACGCCCCCCCGCCAUGUCGGAAAGGACAGCCAGACCUGACAGCAGAAGCCGAGAUGAGCACUUUAUGCAACAAUGUGAGGACCGUGAUGGGUAUUGUUUUUCUACAGCCUGUCUGAUAGUCACGUUAACAUGUGCACUGAAAACGUUCCCACAGGCUACACGUGCAUGAUGAUGUGACGAAGCUGGCGUACUGGGCAACAUGGAUGGCAAGCCGCUGCUGUAAAGCUUUCAUCACAGCGGCAAAGUAACACAGUAUUUAUGUGCAUCAUAAUGGAGACAACAUGGCUUCACAACAAUAGGAGAUAGAAAUAGUCGUUCCAUAUGUGGGGAAAUGCUUUUUUUAUCAUUAAUGUGAUAGCAAGGCCCCAUGUGACCUUCUCACAGCGCCACCUCCUUUCCAAAGUCAUUCAUUAGAACAAACAGAAGGCAGGCAGCAGAAAGAGAGGAGUGAGACGCAAGCAUAAAACAAAUGAGAUUGUUCUUAUUCUUGAAAAGAAGACAGAGUGUGAUAUUUGGAGAUGGGAGAUGUCAUGCGGCGCCUGUGAUCCAGUUGUUGCUUUUGCGCUAGCAAGUGUAAUCACAGUUACACUUUACUGUCCACUUUGGAUUUUCCAGGCCCACGGGGAGUCUUGGAAAAUGGCUCUGGUUUGUUAGGAUUGAGAUUGUCCAAGCAGG